rnacentral:rRNA from 1 species
GAGUUUGAUCCUGGCUCAGAAUCAACGCUGGCGGCGUGCCUCAGACAUGCAAGUCGAACGCGAAAGUUCCCUUCGGGGAGCAAGUAGAGUGGCGCACGGGUGAGUAACACGUAGGUAGUCUACCUUUGGAUGGGGAAUAACAAUCGGAAACGAUUGCUAAUACCGCAUAAUGCAGCGGCACCUAAUGGUGACAGUUGUUAAAGCGGGGGAUCGAAAGACCUCGCGUCUAAAGAGGAGCCUGCGGCAGAUUAGCUAGUUGGUAAGGUAAUGGCUUACCAAGGCGAUGAUCUGUAACCGGCCUGAGAGGGCGGUCGGUCACACUGACACUGACAUACGGGUCAGACUCCUACGGGAGGCAGCAGUCGGGAAUUUUGGGCAAUGGGCGAAAGCCUGACCCAGCAACGCCGCGUGAAGGAUGAAAUCCCUCGGGAUGUAAACUUCGCAAGAACAGGAAGAAUAAGUAUGGGUUAAUAUCCCUUACGAUGACGGUACUGUUUGUAAGCUCCGGCUAACUCCGUGCCAGCAGCCGCGGUAAUACGGGGGGAGCAAGCGUUGUUCGGAUUUACUGGGCGUAAAGGGCGCGUAGGCGGCCACCGCAAGUCGGUUGUGAAAUCUCCGGGCUUAACCCGGAAAGGUCAACCGAUACUGCGGGGCUAGAGUGCAGAAGGGGCAACUGGAAUUCUCGGUGUAGCGGUGAAAUGCGUAGAUAUCGAGAGGAACACCUGCGGCGAAGGCGGGUUGCUGGGCUGACACUGACGCUGAGGCGCGAAAGCUAGGGGAGCGAACGGGAUUAGAUACCCCGGUAGUCCUAGCCUUAAACGAUGAAUGCUUGGUGUCUGGGGUUUUAUAGUCCCCGGGUGCCGUCGCUAACGCUUUAAGCAUUCCGCCUGGGGAGUACGGUCGCAAGACUGAAACUCAAAGGAAUUGACGGGGACCCGCACAAGCGGUGGAGCAUGUGGUUUAAUUCGACGCAACGCGAAGAACCUUACCUGGGCUAGAAUGCCCGUGAC